UAAUACGGAGGAUGCGAGCGUUAUCCGGAUUUAUUGGGUUUAAAGGGUGCGCAGGCGGGACCUUAAGUCAGCGGUGAAAUUUCAGGGCUUAACCCUGACACUGCCGUUGAAACUGGGAACCUUGAGUAUAGAUGAAGUAGGCGGAAUUCGUUGUGUAGCGGUGAAAUGCAUAGAUAUAACGAGGAACCCCGAUUGCGUAGGCAGCUUACUAAACUAUUACUGACGCUCAAGCACGAAAGCGUGGGUAUCAAACAGGAUUAGAUACCCUGGUAGUCCACGCAGUAAACGAUGAUUACUAGUUGUUUGCCAUAUACCGCAAGUGACCAAGCGAAAGCGAUAAGUAAUCCACCUGGGGAGUACGCCGGCAACGGUG
rnacentral:rRNA from 1 species